GAUGAACGCUGGCGGCGUGCCUAAUACAUGCAAGUCGAGCGAACAGAUGAGGAGCUUGCUCCUCUGACGUUAGCGGCGGACGGGUGAGUAACACGUGGGUAACCUACCUAUAAGACUGGGAUAACUUCGGGAAACCGGAGCUAAUACCGGAUAACAUUUGGAACCGCAUGGUUCUAUAGUGAAAGAUGGUUUUGCUAUCACUUAUAGAUGGACCCGCGCCGUAUUAGCUAGUUGGUAAGGUAACGGCUUACCAAGGCGACGAUGCGUAGCCGACCUGAGAGGGUGAUCAGCCACACUGGAACUGAGACACGGUCCAGACUCCUACGGGAGGCAGCAGUAGGGAAUCUUCCGCAAUGGGCGAAAGCCUGACGGAGCAACGCCGCGUGAGUGAUGAAGGGUUUCGGAUCGUAAAACUCUGUUAUUAGGGAAGAACAAAUGUGUAAGUAACUAUGCACGUCUUGACGGUACCUAAUCAGAAAGCCACGGCUAACUACGUG
rnacentral:rRNA from 1 species